rnacentral:lncRNA from 1 species
CAUCCCAUUCUUUCCUCCCCUCCCUGCUCUUUAUUCAACAAACAUCAAUUGAUGCAGUAAAAAUCAUUAUCGGCCAGGCGUGUGGGGAGAGAGAGAGAGAGAGAAGGAGAGAGAAAAGGGGAGGCAAAAAUUGGAGUUCUAGCACCCACCAAUCCCAACAACUCACCUGGAAUGUUCUGCCCAAGGCUACAGGGACAGCCCACACUAAUUUGGCCAGGCCCUUUCUCAUGAUCUGCUUUCUUUUCGCCCAUCUGCCUCCCACCUUAUUCAAUAUUUUGAUGAUCUUCCUCUUUGCAGCCCCUCUUACCAAUCUUCCCAGCAGGACACUAUCCUGCUUCUUCAACAUCUCUACUCAAAGGGGUACCGAGUAUCCCCCUCCAAGGCACAGAUUUCUUCCCCUAGCGUUACCUAUCUCGGUAUAAUCCCCCAUCAGCAUACAUGCACCCUUCCUGCAGACCAUGUUCAGUUAAUGUCCCAGACCCCAAUCUCCACCACCAAACAACAACUUCUUUCGUUCUUAGGCGUUGUUGGAUAUUUCCGACUCUGUAUCUGGAUACCAGGCUUUGCUAUCCUAACCAAACCACUUUACAAACUCACAAAGGGUAACUUAACUGAUCCCAUAGACCCUAAGUUUUUUCCCCAUUCCUCCUUUUGCUCUCUCAGAAAGGCCCUGGAGACAACUCCCACACUAGCACUCCCUGACUCGUCCCAUCCUUUUUCCUUACACACAGCUGAAAUCCAAGGCUGUGCUGCUGGAGCCCUCACACAGGACCCAG